CAACGCGAGUACGCGACCACGUUUCGAUUGUCAGGUAAGACCUCUCAACAUUUCAAUAUGACGUACCCAAAUAGCAGUUCACUACCGUUAAGUUUAAAUUGUGGUCGGUGAGAAGAAAACAGUAUUCCACUAUUGGUUAAGUAAGAAUUAUAGAUUUUCAGCAAAGAAUGUAGUAACAGUUAAAGUGUAGAAAUUAUCAUUGAGAUAGAGAGUAUAGUUUUGCAGUAAUUGAAUAAUAAAAUGUGAACUUAUGUUUUGGAGGAUAUCAGCCAGGGGUAAAUGGAGCCACUUGAACAGGUAUCAAACUCUUCUUGAGUAGUAAUUAUCUGGGAUGCAUCAUAGCAAUUUAAAUAUAAAAUUCCAAGUAAAUAGUGAUAGUUAUCCAAAAUAGCUACGUGGAUGUUAUGACAGUAAACCUCUCUUGAGUAAAACGGGAACCAUUCAGUGUCUUGCCAUGAAGAAGGAAAGGGUCCUGCUAGAGAAAAAUCUCAAUCACUUUUAUUUAUAUUGUGUCGGUCCCCUGCAUUUCAUGUUGUCUUUGUUUUUCAUUUGACUUAAAUUGAUAUUGGUAAGAAUAAUUUACUUAUAGUUUCCUCAGCGGCAUCAGUACCCUUAUGUAAUAACCCCAAAAGUUUCCCUCUGUUACUGACUCAAAUAUCAGAUGAAUCUUCUAUAGUCAAUUUUCUUCAGCACGAGCAACAAUAUUAAAUGGACUUAGACCAUGGAGGCAUGGACUACUUUAUUUUAAUGGACUGGACUCUUGUAGGAAUGGCAUGAUAAAAAAAAAACAGUCAGAAUUAUGGAGCUUCAGUUUUGGCCAUUGUAAGUUUCUUCAACAUGCUGGUAGAUCUCGAGAAGUAGCAGUACUGCUGACAGGGAACGUCAUUGAUGGCAAUGGAUAUAGGAAUGAGUUUUGAGAUCCAGGAAAACAGUGAAAUUCUCUUGCUCAAUGCUACCCCUUGGGCUAGUAGUUUAAACAUUUGUGAAACAAGAUCUUUCGUGUUUACACAUGUGUUCCGACCCUAGGUAAAGGUUUUUUGGAUAGUGGAUUUUGCCAAAAAUCGACCAAAAUCAUUUUGACUAGAAUGAAGAAUUUAAUUUUGUGUGAGGCACUGCGGAGUGUAGACAAGAAAAGCGGAACUUAAGCUACUGUGGCCUCAUAUUAUUCUCUUUACCCGCGGAAAAGCCCAGUGAAGAAGGAACAGUAAAGUCAAGAGGUUUCCAAGCUGGCUACACCACAUUCGACACCUAAGAAAAACGAACAGCAAUCUGAAUUGGAUAGGAUGGCGGAAAAGAAGAAUUGAUUGCUCGAACAUGAAAUGUCGAUCAGAAAGAAUCAUCUUCAGAGACUGCGAAAUCAUCGGCAGUUCCAGACGAAUCCGUUAGUCCCGAAUGUCGAUAUCUAGCAACACGAUCUAAUGUGUUGACUUGAGUGUUGACUCGAACUUCAGGGACCAAGUGUGGUGUUGUUUACGACUUUACGCACAUACAGACUAGUCUUAUGUCCAAUUUUGUUUUUUCAAUUGAAAAAAAAAUGGCAAAAAACAGUCCUUCGGUUCGGGUAUAUGUACCUUGCGUCCUUGCUAACGCAGCUGACAGUCGUACCGUCUGUAUAGAUGCUAAGGGCUGUCACUAGAUGGAUAAAUAUUUCAGUGUGUUUAGGGAUUGAACUAUUCAGCCCUUGACUGUUGGUAAGGACCGUAUAUCAUUUUCAUUUCAUGAUCACAUGUUCAUGCGUCACACGUUAGUCUUUGCGGGGUACUUUCUUUCCUCACUCUUUUCCUCAUAAAAGGUAACAUAGCCUUCAAUUUAUGCUUGGCACUUCCAUCUGAUCACGUGGCCUUUACAUUUUCCCAAAAUGUCGUCUCUUGCUGCACGUACCGCCUUUUCGUUUCGUCACAUGCAGCAACAAUCCAGGACAGUAAAACAAUUGAGUUUUUUUCUCCAAGUAGGAAUACAGCCUUUUAAGGUAGGAGCCUCUAAGUUCAAUGUGCAUUGUUGCAGUUGCAGUCAGCUGGCAGGUAGUCGUCUUGCAGGUUUGCUUGCUAUCUGUACAGUGUACCUUUCGUCACAUGCAGCAACCCUUCAGAACAGUUUAAAAUAAUGGAGUUGGUCUGGUUUUUAUGUAGGAAUACAGCCUGUUAAGGUCUGAGCUCUCAGUAGGAUGUGCACACGGAUUUGUUGCAGACAUCUGGCAAAAGGUGUUCUUCUUGCUGGCUUGCUUGCUUCUUGUACAGUUUGUAGCUCUCGUCACAUUCAGAAAUACUUCAGAACAAUUUAAAGUUAAACCAUGCUGUCAUUUUGUUCAUGUCACACAUGACUUUAUUUUCUGAUAGUUAUUGAGUUUUUUCUCCAAGUAGGAAUACAACCUCUUAAGGUCGGAGGCUUCAAGCCUCUUGAUAGCAGUCCAAUGUGCAGAUGACUAGGUGCAGCCAGCUGGUGUACGGUGUGGUGACAGGUGAGCUGUUCAUGCAGACUAGUGCUGAUGUUGAGUGUAAAAUUCUGUCUACCAGGUGGUGAAGUGUCUUUCCGUUAGUGAGAAUGAGGUGACGAAAUCCCGCCAAUUGCUUUUAAUACAGUGGACUGGGAUAUGUUGCUGACGGUAUUUUUCGAUUCUACAUUUAAGAACGAUUGAGGUAUUCCGACACCCUUCGACCAAGCUGAAUCGAAAGUGAACAACUUUAAAGCAGGUUUAUCGAAGAUCAUGCAUUUCUCCACGUGGUCGCUGCCGUGUCAUGUAGAUGCGUCUUUGAGAGGGUUUUUCCUAUAUUGUAAGACAAUAUUGUGAUGAAAACAGGAAAUUAUGUUGCUUUAUAGUUGUCGGGCAUAUUUUAUCGGCUGCUUUGUGUCGAUAUGUUAUUUUCUGCUACCUGUACCGGUUUUGAGUCAAUCGCUCGCCGCCGUUCCAUUGCUGAAACUGAAGAGACUGCUGAAAUUCAAGAGAAUGCUGAAAUUUAAAGACUGAUAAAUUAUGUAGAUGAUUUUAAGUGCAUAUCUGUACUUCUUCUCCCCAUUUUCUUUAGUAAGCAGUAACCAACCUCCCCCCCCUCGUUCUAGCUGGUUAAUCACCAGCUGUGAUAAUGCGGUAAGACGCAUGAUUUGUGGGAAAUUUGGAGGGUUAUGAGGGAAACUAUUCUAUGAUUAUUUGCUCCCUUAAUAUUUGUUUCAGAACUCCACUUUUACAAUUCUACUGCAAGGUCUGUCCUAUAAUUAUUUGCUCCUUAACCCAUAACAAUCACAACUCUGUAAACUGUUGUCCUACAAAACCUUACCUGAUAUUUAUAUAUCUAAUUACUAUUCAAUAACAUACCCACAACAAAUAAAACCUUAAAUGUUAUAAAUUAUCAUGAGUUUUAUAUUGAAAUAAAAACAAUGAAUAAUUUUAUUCAA
rnacentral:lncRNA from 1 species